rnacentral:rRNA from 1 species
UACGGAGGGGGCUAGCGUUGUUCGGAAUUACUGGGCGUAAAGCGCACGUAGGCGGCUUUGCAAGUCAGAGGUGAAAGCCCGGGGCUCAACCCCGGAAUUGCCUUUGAGACUGCAUCGCUAGAAUUGUGGAGAGGUAAGUGGAAUUCCGAGUGUAGAGGUGAAAUUCGUAGAUAUUCGGAAGAACACCAGUGGCGAAGGCGGCUCACUGGUCCGGUACUGACGCUGAGGUGCGAAAGCGUGGGGAGCAAACAGG